rnacentral:rRNA from 1 species
UACGAACCGUCCAAACGUUACUCGGAAUCACUGGGCUUAAAGGGUGCGUAGGCUGCGCGGAGGGUGGGAUGUGAAAUCCCCCGGCUCAACCGGGGAAUAGCGUCCCAAACCGCCGUGCUCGAGGGAGACAGAGGUGAGCGGAACUGAUGGUGGAGCGGUGAAAUGCGUUGAUAUCAUCUGGAAUACCGGAGGCGAAGGCGGCUCACUGGGGGUUUUCUGACGCUGAGGAACGAAAGCCAGGGUAGCGAACGGG